UACGUAGGGAGCAAGCGUUGUCCGGAUUUAUUGGGCGUAAAGAGCUCGUAGGUGGUUCAGCAAGUCGGUGUGAAAGCUCUGGGCUCAACCCAGAGAUGCCACCCGAUACUGCUGUGACUAGAGUCAGGUAGGGGAUCGCGGAAUUCCAGGUGUAGCGGUGAAAUGCACAGAUAUCUGGAGGAACACCAGCGGCGAAGGCGGCGAUCUGGGCCUGUACUGACACUGAGGAGCGAAAGCGUGGGGAGCCGAACAGG
rnacentral:rRNA from 1 species